UUUCAAAAUAUCUGUUUGGUUUUCAAGCCUCUUCAUUUCACAUAAAACUAUUUUUGAUUGGAAUGUGUGUAUUAAGACCAGCCUUUCUAUUUAUUAGCAGGAUAUUCACCUUUGAGAUCAAGGAGCCAGACUUGGGGUAGGAUACAGCUGCAUUAGCAGACGCCAUCGUGAUAUGCCUACAACAAAGAUACGGUAUCAAACGUUUGCUACUCACCUGGCACCAAAGUGCUGAAGGAGAUGGACGUAGUGAAGGCUACAGUUGCGUUGAUUGUCAGACACCACAGUGAUAUGCCUGCAACAAUGCACGUCCAGAGGUUAGACAAACAGCACACUUACUUUUAUACUAAAAUGUUGAUUAUUAGUUUAUCUUUAUGACUGAUUUGUAAUAUACAAAUAAUUUUAAAUAUCAUUAAUAAAGUACAGUACCUCUACCGCAGCAAACCUGUAGACUAAGCCAAUUUCCAUUUACCUAGCUAGAUGUUCACUAAAAUAUUAACUAAAAAUUACCAGAUUUCAAAAAUUCGGACCUUUCAAAUAACCUUAUUACUAAUGAGCACUUAGCUUUGCUGCUACAGGGAAGGUGUGUUUUUAAUUGAAUCGUGGAUAGUUUAGUAUGAAAUACAAAAAUUUGCCAAAUUAAAUUAUAUUAAAAUAUAUCCAUAAACAUACAAACUACAGCAGUUUACUUUAUUCUCCAUAACAAUGAGCAUGGAAAUGUUGAAUUUACACUUUUUUACUUUCUCCAUAAGGGUAAGGAGUAAAACAAUGCUUAAUGCACUUUUUUUAAACUCUAUAAAAUGAUUUAGAAAUAAAUUGCUGAAUUGUUCAUUUUUAGGGUAAAAAUGGGAAUAACCUAUCUUAAUCCCAUAAAACGGCCCAUAAAUUCCUGUUCCCAUAG